rnacentral:misc_RNA from 1 species
GCUCUUUCUUCCUUUAACUCAGAGAGAGACAGAGGGAGAGAGAUGGCUCAGGCUGAGUCUUUAGGUCUCCAUUUAUUAUUUAUCUUCUUUCCUGGCCUGUAAUGUACCAAGAUCUGAAACUCAUCUUAUUCUUGAAGAAGAUGGCUAAACAUUAUCCUCACUCAACUGCACUGCAAGAACCUCAAUAUCAACCAGCACCUACAUUUCUCAAUGAUGCUCUCUACUGCUCUGAGGAGAAUUGGGAGGAAGAAGUUAGAGAGGGCUAUUUUCAUCAAGAAGAAGAACAAGGGGACAGCUAUUGCUGUAAUGACAAUAAGAAACAAGACUGUUCUGCAGUCCUGUUAGAACAAGACUUGUACUGGGAAGAGGAGGAGCUUUCCUCUUUUUUUGCCAAACAAGAGCAAAAUCAAUUAUAUGAUCAACUAGAAACCAACCCAUCUCUAGCUGAGGCUCGCCGUGAGGCUGUAAACUGGAUGCUCAAGGUCAAUGCGCACUACUCUUUCACUGCUCUAACUGCAGUUUUGGCCGUCAACUAUCUUGAUAGAUUCCUGUUUAGCUUCCACCUUCAAACAAAGAAGCCAUGGAUGACCCAACUUGCCGCUGUGGCUUGUCUCUCCCUUGCUGCCAAGGUAGAGGAGACCCAGGUGCCUCUUUUAUUGGACCUUCAGGUGGAGGACAGUAGGUAUGUGUUUGAGGCCAAAACCAUCCAGAGAAUGGAGAUUCUGGUGCUCUCUACUCUUCAGUGGAGAAUGAAUCCUAUAACUCCAUUAUCAUUUGUUGAUUUCAUUGCGAGGAGGCUUGGCUCAAAGGGCUAUCUUUGCUCGGAAUUUCUCUGGAGAUGUGAGAGAAUAGUUGUGUCUAUAAUCUCAGGCAAGACAUCAGCAUCUUUUCCAUCUCUUGCUCAAUAAUUAAGCUUCUUAGUAUAUUGGUUUUUUGAUUUUUUACCAUAAUGUUUCCUUAAUGCAUGCAGAUUCUAGGUCUAUGCAUUAUCUACCUUCUGUGAUUGCUACUGCGGCAAUGCUGCAUGUAAUUAAUGGUGUAGAACCCUUUCUUGGAGCUGAAUACGAAAGCCAGCUAUUGGGUAUUCUAGGAAUCGACAAGGUGAGUUCCCUUUCCCAUUCAAUGGAUUGAAUUCCACAUUGUCUAUCAAUUUCGAACAAGAAAAUCUCAUUUUAUACUGAAUCUUGAAUUUGGACAACUUCCGAACAGAACAAGAUGGAUGAUUGCAGCCAGCUCAUAAUAGAAAUGGCAUCGAGAGACCCUGGCAGCCGCUCAAACAAACGAAAGUUUAUUUCCAUUCCAGGCAGUCCAAACGGCGUAAUGGAUGUGUCGUUUAGCUCAGAUAGCUCAAAUGAUUCAUGGGCAGUGGCAUCACCAUUGUCUUCUUCACCAGAGCCUCUGUCCAAGAAGAGCAGGGCACUGCAGAGUUCAAACCAUGAAACUGCAGAUUUUCUGAACGUUCCUCGCUGAUUCCUAGUCAGAUUUCCCUUUUUUUUUACCUUUAAUGGACUACCUUUGUAUGGUUAAUAAUUUUUAUGUUCUUUUGCAUCAUGUGGCAAGUUAAAUUGCCUGCCAUCUCUGCUUCACUCCACUUCCAUCUUCAAUUCCUAGAAUCUGAACCACUCUUUCGAGUAAUGGGAUCAACUGGAAGCAGAGAUAGUUGGCAUUUUAUCCGGAAGUAAAGACCAUAAAAAGUAAGAACAAAGCAAUGGAGAGUCCUUGCAGUUAUGACCUCUCAGCCUUCUCUCCCCCACUCACUCCUGAAGGCCCCUCUUCUCUCAUGAAGAAUAAAAUAAUUUGUAUCAUAUUCUUCUAUACAUAAAAGAUCAACUAUGACCUUAUUCUUUAAAAUAUUUCACAUAGGCCUAUACAGUUGUAUGCAUCUGUAGAAGUGUUGUCUGGUCUUUGUUUACAAGCGUCUGGUUAUGAGAAAAAAGAAGAAAAUUAAUGGGUUAUGGAGGGACAGAUCCAUCAGCAAGAACAAGAACUAUAGAAGAGGAAAAACGAAAAGCAAAAACAUGAGCGUAUAUUUUGUUUGCAUGUGAAGCGAGGAACGAGUUGUCGGCCACUGAAAAUAUCGGGGUCUUUUUUUGGGUGGGAACGAGAGAUUAUAUUAUUUUGGUGUUUGACCUCGUUCGGAGAGCUCUUGAAAAAGACUAGAGUAGCGAGUAGAAACCUACUUUUCUUCGGCUACACCGCCCUUUCCGAUAAUAUUCUAUACAUAUUUGCAUCUUG